rnacentral:rRNA from 1 species
AUGAAGCGGCGGCGCUGGUCAUGCGACGUGCGCGGGCGCAGCACGCUCUGGGCGCUCUUCCACCAGGACGACCGCGAGCGCAUCCGCGACGACACGGCCUUCGGCGUGUUCCCCGUCUCGUCCUCCGCCGCGGCCGCGGCGCUCCCCACCGAAUUCCACCAGCUGCCGCCGGCUCGACCGUGCGUCCCAGAGAUCUUCUUGGAGGACGAGAUUGUUAUGGCCGAGAGCUCUGACGAGAUAACUCCGGUGGUGGAGCACGUCUUGGUUGUCGACACCUCGGGAGAGAUGGAAACCGAAGCUUAUGGGUCCGGAGAGAUCAAGGCCAUGAAGGAUCACAUAGAUCUCGAAAUCUUGGCAGCCCAAGAAGCCGCCGCCCAUGGACCUGAAGGAGAUCGUCGGGAGCUUCCGGCUCGCUGCCUCGGUCUUCAUUUAGAAGUGGCACAAGUGGAGGCGCAAGCAGAAGCUCAAGAAGGAGGAGGCGGCCGGCAGCAAGGCAGCGGCCGCGGCAAUGCCGCCGUCGGAGAAGCCAUCCAAGCCCUUUUCCUUUGGCGGAGCCGCUUUCGUAGGGAGGCAGGCUCGGAGUUCGCCAGAGGCCGUCGUUCGUGCGACACGGACCCAAGCUUCUCCCUUGAUGCUGGCCGCAUGUCUGUCGACGAUGUAGGUCUAUCCUGGUACGGGCCCCGCGCGUCCUGGGACGGCUACCUCUUCGGCGCCGGCGCCGGCAUUGGCCUUGGCCGAGCGCCUGCGCCGCUGUCACGGCUCCCGCCCAUCCUCUCCGCGCUCGAGGACUCACCUGUCGGCGUGGUGGAACGCUCCGACGGCCAAAUUCCUGUGGAAGAUGACUCGCAGCCCGAGCCCGACGGCGACGCCAACACCCCCGGAGGCUCGGCGCAGACGCGAGACUACUACAUGGACACGUCGAGCCGGAGGCGCCGGAGCCUGGAGCGGUCAAGCUCCGUGCUGACAAGGUCGUUCGAAUUCUACCACUUCCACCAUGCCGAAGACCUGCUCGACCAACGGUUCAGCUCCAACUCUCUCGUCAAAGACUUCCCGGUGACCCUGGACGCUGCGUUCCCGGGCCCCGCCAAGAAGCCACGGCGUCUAAGCAAGGCGUGGACCCUCUGGGGCUUCAUACACCGCCAGGCCACGGGCCGCCGGGGCAGCCCGUCUGACGCCCCAGACCGCGCGUUCUCGGAGCCGUGGCCGAAGCUGCGCGUCCGCGGGUACAGCAACGCUGGGAUGCAGAGGUGCAACAGCAACGCCAGCGCGCGAAGCUCGUUCAGCAGCAACAGCACCGGCCUGGACUGCUACUUGGUUAAACUAAUUGUUGCUAUGUAA